rnacentral:rRNA from 1 species
AUUGAACGCUGGCGGCAGGCCUAACACAUGCAAGUCGAGCGGAUGAAGGGAGCUUGCUCCUGGAUUCAGCGGCGGACGGGUGAGUAAUGCCUAGGAAUCUGCCUGGUAGUGGGGGAUAACGUCCGGAAACGGGCGCUAAUACCGCAUACGUCCUGAGGGGGAAAGUGGGGGAUCUUCGGACCUCACGCUAUCAGAUGAGCCUAGGUCGGAUUAGCUAGUUGGUGGGGUAAAGGCCUACCAAGGCGACGAUCCGUAACUGGUCUGAGAGGAUGAUCAGUCACACUGGAACUGAGACACGGUCCAGACUCCUACGGGAGGCAGCAGUGGGGAAUAUUGGACAAUGGGCGAAAGCCUGAUCCAGCCAUGCCGCGUGUGUGAAGAAGGUCUGCGGAUUGUAAAGCACUUUAAGUUGGGAGGAAGGGCAGUAAGUUAAUACCUUGCUGUUUUGACGUUACCAACAGAAUAAGCACCGGCUAACUUCGU